CCUACGGGUGGCAGCAGUGGGGAAUAUUGGGCAAUGGGCGCAAGCCUGACCCAGCAACGCCGCGUGAAGGAAGAAGGCUCUCGGGUUGUAAACUUCUUUUAAGAGGGAAGAGCAGAAGACGGUACCUCUCGAAUAAGCUCCGGCUAACUACGUGCCAGCAGCCGCGGUAAUACGUAGGGAGCGAGCGUUGUCCGGAUUUACUGGGGGUAAAGGGCGUGCAGCCGGGAGUACAAGUCAGGUGUGAAAUCCCGGGGCUCAACCGCGGAACUGCAUUUGAAACUGUAUUUCUUGAGUACUGGAGAGGCAGGCGGAAUUCCUGGUGUAGCGGUGAAAUGCGUAGAUAUUAGGAAGAACACCAGUGGCGAAGGCAGUCUGCUGGAGAGCAACUGACGGUGAGGCGCGAAAGCGUGGGGAGCAAACAGGAUUAGAUACCCGUGUAGUC
rnacentral:rRNA from 1 species